rnacentral:rRNA from 1 species
CAAUAGCGUAUAUUAAAGUUGUUGCGGUAAAAAAGCUCGUAGUUGGACUUCUGUUGAGAGAUACCGGUCCAUGCAACGCAUGCGUAUUUGGUAAGUCUCGGCAUCCUCUCGAAAAACUUCUUUGCGCUUGAUUGCGUGAAAAGAGUUUCGGGACUUUUACUUUGAGGAAAUUAGAGUGUUCACGGCAGGCCAUCGCCAGGAUACAUUAGCAUGGAAUAAUACUAUAGGAUCUUGAUCCUAUUUUGUUGGUUUCUAGGAUUAAGAUAAUGAUUAAUAGGGACAAUUGGGGGCAUUCGUAUCAACACGUCAGAGGUGAAAUUCUUGGAUUGUGUUGCGACGAACUACGGCGAAAGCAUUUGCCAAGGAUGUUUUCAUUGA